rnacentral:rRNA from 1 species
AAGUCAACGUAGCAAUACGUGGCAUACGGCUCAGUAACACGUAGUCAACAUGCCCAGGGGACGUGGAUAACCUCGGGAAACUGAGGCUAAACCGCGAUAGGUCAAGAUUCCUGGAAUGGAUCAUGGCCCAAAUCUAUAUGGCCCCUGGAUUGGACUGCGGCCGAUCAGGCUGUUGGUGGGGUAAUGGCCCACCAAACCUGUAACCGGUACGGGCUCUGAGAGGAGGAGCCCGAAGAUGGGCACUUAGACAAGGGCCCAGGCCCUAUGGGGCGCAGCAGGCGCGAAACCUCUGCAAUAAGCGAAAGCUUGACAGGGUUACUCUGAGUGAUUUCCGCUAAGGAAGUCUUUUGGCACCUCUAAAAAUGGUGCAGAAUAAGGGGUGGGCAAGUCUGGUGUCAGCCGCCGCGGUAAUACCAGCACCC